rnacentral:rRNA from 1 species
GACGAACGCUGGCGGCGUGCCUAAUACAUGCAAGUUGAGCGCUGAAGGUUGGUACUUGUACCUACUGGAUGAGCAGCGAACGGGUGAGUAACGCGUGGGGAAUCUGCCUUUGAGCGGGGGACAACAUUUGGAAACGAAUGCUAAUACCGCAUAAAAACUUUAAACACAAGUUUUAAGUUUGAAAGAUGCAAUUGCAUCACUCAAAGAUGAUCCCGCGUUGUAUUAGCUAGUUGGGGAGGUAAAGGCUCACCAAGGCGAUGAUACAUAGCCGACCUGAGAGGGGGAUCGGCCACAUUGGGAAUGAGACACGGCCCAAACUCCUACGGGAGGCAGCAGUAGGGAAUCUUAGGGAAUGGACGAAAGGCUGAACGGGCAACGCCGCGGGAGGGAAGAAGGUUUUCGGAUCGGAAAACUCUGUUGGUAGAGAAGAACGUUGGUGAGAGUGGAAAGCUCAUCAAGUGACGGUAACUACCCAGAAAGGGACGGCUAACUACGUG